rnacentral:tRNA from 1 species
GGGGCUGUAGCUCAGUUGGCUAGAGCGACGCGCUGGCAGCGCGUAGGCCAGGGGUUCGAGUCCCCUCAGCUCCA